UGGGAUGGUCUCGAUUACUGCAGUGUGCAUU
rnacentral:piRNA from 1 species